AGCGAACGCUGGCGGCAGGCUUAACACAUGCAAGUCGAGCGGGCACUUCGGUGUCAGCGGCAGACGGGUGAGUAACACGUGGGAACGUACCCUUCGGUUCGGAAUAACGCUGGGAAACUAGCGCUAAUACCGGAUACGCCCUUUUGGGGAAAGGUUUACUGCCGAAGGAUCGGCCCGCGUCUGAUUAGCUAGUUGGUGGGGUAAUGGCCUACCAAGGCGACAAUCAGUAGCUGGUCUGAGAGGAUGAUCAGCCACACUGGGACUGAGACACGGCCCAGACUCCUACGGGAGGCAGCAGUGGGGAAUAUUGGACAAUGGGCGCAAGCCUGAUCCAGCCAUGCCGCGUGAGUGAUGAAGGCCUUAGGGUUGUAAAGCUCUUUUGUCCGGGACGAUAAUGACGGUACCGGAAGAAUAAGCCCCGGCUAACUUCGUG
rnacentral:rRNA from 1 species